UAGUUGGUAGGGUAAUGGCCUACCAAGGCAACGAUGCAUAGCCGACCUGAGAGGGUGAUCGGCCACACUGGGACUGAGACACGGCCCAGACUCCUACGGGAGGCAGCAGUAGGGAAUCUUCCGCAAUGGACGAAAGUCUGACGGAGCAACGCCGCGUGUAUGAAGAAGGUUUUCGGAUCGUAAAGUACUGUUGUUAGAGAAGAACAAGGAUAAGAGUAACUGCUUGUCCCUUGACGGUAUCUAACCAGAAAGCCACGGCUAACUACGUGCCAGCAGCCGCGGUAAUACGUAGGUGGCAAGCGUUGUCCGGAUUUAUUGGGCGUAAAGCGCGCGCAGGCGGUCUUUUAAGUCUGAUGUGAAAGCCCCCGGCUUAACCGGGGAGGGUCAUUGGAAACUGGAAGACUGGAGUGCAGAAGAGGAGAGUGGAAUUCCACGUGUAGCGGUGAAAUGCGUAGAUAUGUGGAGGAACACCAGUGGCGAAGGCGACUCUCUGGUCUGUAACUGACGCUGAGGCGCGAAAGCGUGGGGAGCAAACAGGAUUAUAUACCCUGGUAGUCCACGCCGUAAACGAUGAGUGCUAA
rnacentral:rRNA from 1 species